UACGAAGGGGGCGAGCGUUGUUCGGAUUUACUGGGCGUAAAGCGCGUGUAGGCGGUCGGGCAAGUCGGAUGUGAAAGCCCAGGGCUCAACCCUGGAAGUGCACUCGAUACUGCUCGGCUAGAGUCCCGGAGAGGAUGGUGGAACUCUCGGUGUAGAGGUGAAAUUCGUAGAUAUCGAGAAGAACACCGGUGGCGAAGGCGGCCAUCUGGACGGUGACUGACGCUGAGACGCGAAAGCGUGGGGAGCAAACAGG
rnacentral:rRNA from 1 species